AACGCGAAGAACCUUACCUGGUCUUGACAUCCACGGAAGUUUUCAGAGAUGAGAAUGUGCCUUCGGGAACCGUGAGACAGGUGCUGCAUGGCUGUCGUCAGCUCGUGUUGUGAAAUGUUGGGUUAAGUCCCGCAACGAGCGCAACCCUUAUCCUUUGUUGCCAGCGGUCCGGCCGGGAACUCAAAGGAGACUGCCAGUGAUAAACCGGAGGAAGGUGGGGAUGACGUCAAGUCAUCAUGGCCCUUACGACCAGGGCUACACACGUGCUACAAUGGCGCAUACAAAGAGAAGCGACCUCGCGAGAGCAAGCGGACCUCAUAAAGUGCGUCGUAGUCCGGAUUGGAGUCUGCAACUCGACACCAUGAAGUCGGAAUCGCUAGUAAUCGUGGAUCAGAAUGCCACGGUGAAUACGUUCCCGGGCCUUGUACACACCGCCCGUCACACCAUGGGAGUGGGUUGCAAAAGAAGUAGGUAGCUUAACCUUCGGGAGGGCGCUUACCACUUUGUGAUUCAUGACUGGGGUGAAGUCGUAACAAGGUAACCUUAAUUAAAA
rnacentral:rRNA from 1 species